rnacentral:rRNA from 1 species
AGUGAACGCUGGCGGUAGGCCUAACACAUGCAAGUCGAACGGCAGCACAGUAAGAGCUUGCUCUUACGGGUGGCGAGUGGCGGACGGGUGAGGAAUACAUCGGAAUCUACUUUUUCGUGGGGGAUAACGUAGGGAAACUUACGCUAAUACCGCAUACGACCUACGGGUGAAAGCAGGGGAUCUUCGGACCUUGCGCGAUUGAAUGAGCCGAUGUCGGAUUAGCUAGUUGGCGGGGUAAAGGCCCACCAAGGCGACGAUCCGUAGCUGGUCUGAGAGGAUGAUCGGCCACACUGGAACUGAGACACGGUCCAGACUCCUACGGGAGGCAGCAGUGGGGAAUAUUGGACGAUGGGCGCAAGCCUGAUCCAGCCAUACCGCGUGGGUGAAGAAGGCCUUCGGGUUGUAAAGCCCUUUUGUUGGGAAAGAAAAGCAGCAGGUUAAUACCCCGCUGUUCUGACGGUACCCAAAGAAUAAGCACCGGCUAACUUCGUG